rnacentral:rRNA from 1 species
UGGGGAAUUUUGGACAAUGGGCGAAAGCCUGAUCCAGCAAUGCCGCGUGUGUGAAGAAGGCCUUCGGGUUGUAAAGCACUUUUGUCCGGAAAGAAAUCCUUGGCUCUAAUACAGUCGGGGGAUGACGGUACCGGAAGAAUAAGCACCGGCUAACUACGUGCCAGCAGCCGCGGUAAUACGUAGGGUGCAAGCGUUAAUCGGAAUUACUGGGCGUAAAGCGUGCGCAGGCGGUUUGCUAAGACCGAUGUGAAAUCCCCGGGCUCAACCUGGGAACUGCAUUGGUGACUGGCAGGCUAGAGUAUGGCAGAGGGGGGUAGAAUUCCACGUGUAGCAGUGAAAUGCGUAGAGAUGUGGAGGAAUACCGAUGGCGAAGGCAGCCCCCUGGGCCAAUACUGACGCUCAUGCACGAAAGCGUGGGGAGCAAACAGGAUUAGAUACCCUGGUAGUCCACGCCCUAAACGAUGUCAACUAGUUGUUGGGGAUUCAUUUCCUUAGUAACUAGCUAACGCGUGAAGUUGACCGCCUGGGGAGUACGGUCGCAAGAUUAAAACUCAAAUGAAUUGACGGGGUC